UUAAGAGGAAUUUAUUAAUAGAAGAAAGUCUGAUUUAAUUUAUAGAGGUGGAAUUUGUAUAGGUUAGUUUGGUUUUUUAUUUUCUUUAUUUUGAUGCCACGAAAAUUUAGUAUGAGACCGGGAUUAGAUACCCCGUUAUUUAUUUUUUAAACUUUGAUUGGUUUGAUUUACUUGGGGAUUACGAGCAUAUUUACUAGUAAUUAAUAGAAGAUAUGAAGCUUAAAACUCAAAAAACUUGGCGGUACCUUAAUUCCUUCCAGGGGAACCUGUCCUGUAAUCGAUGGUCCACGUUUUAGCUUACCUUUUUUUGUAUUUCGGGAUUAAAUUGAUUCCCGCUAACAGUUUGUAUACCGUCGUCGUCAGAUUAUCUUUAAGAGAAAAAGAAGUUGUCAGUAGAAGGAAAUAUGUUGUUGUUUGCUGGUUUAUUUGUAGAGUUUAAAUUUUGUGAAAUUUAUUCUAUGCUGUAGAUAAUAAGUAUAUUCUUUUGAUGUCAGAUCAAGGUGCAGCUUAUAAAAGGGUAGAGAUGGGUUACAAUAGUUAUUUCCUAUACGAAUUUUGUCCUGUAAUGGAUAAUUGAAGGUGGACUUGGGAGUAAUAUAGUAUAAACAGUGAGUUUGUGUGAAUAUGGUACUAAGGUGUGU
rnacentral:rRNA from 1 species